GACGAACGCUGGCGGCGUGCUUAACACAUGCAAGUCGAACGGAAAGGCCCUGCUUUUGUGGGGUGCUCGAGUGGCGAACGGGUGAGUAACACGUGAGUAACCUGCCCUUGACUUUGGGAUAACUUCAGGAAACUGGGGCUAAUACCGGAUAGGAGCUCCUGCUGCAUGGUGGGGGUUGGAAAGUUUCGGCGGUUGGGGAUGGACUCGCGGCUUAUCAGCUUGUUGGUGGGGUAGUGGCUUACCAAGGCUUUGACGGGUAGCCGGCCUGAGAGGGUGACCGGCCACAUUGGGACUGAGAUACGGCCCAGACUCCUACGGGAGGCAGCAGUGGGGAAUAUUGCACAAUGGGCGGAAGCCUGAUGCAGCAACGCCGCGUGCGGGAUGACGGCCUUCGGGUUGAAAACCGCUUUCGCCUGUGACGAAGCGUGAGUGACGGUAAUGGGUAAAGAAGCACCGGCCAACUACGUG
rnacentral:rRNA from 1 species